rnacentral:tRNA from 1 species
GUUGAGGUAGCCGAGUUGGUCCAAGGCGCGCGACAUUAAGGCUAUCUUCCGAGAGGGUGUGGGUUUAAAUCCCACUCUCUGCA